GCAUGAAUAAUUUUGGUUGUCCAGUUUUUUUGGCAAGUACACCACCUAGAAGUUUGUUUAUAUUGCAUGCUAUAUAUGCCAAUAACUGGAAGAGGUAGAGGUCGAUCACACGGCGUGAGCUACGGUCGAGGGAAAUGCAAUGAUGAAGUUUGGAAUAAACUACCCAUUGCUACCAUGGAUCUUAGAGAUGACACAUUCUCAAGCUCAGAUGACUCAACCGAGCCACUUGAUGUCAUCCCGAGCACAGAACCAAAUGACAUGCCAGUAGUUGAUUCACCACUAAGCACAAAUCCAUCUGUACCACUUAGCCAAAAGCAUGGGUGAGGAGCAGCAAAGAGCAUAGAGUUCGAAAACGUGCAAAAGCAUG